AAGAAGAGAGGGAGAGAGAGAGAAAGAGAGAAAGCAAAAAUGGUUCUGCUUGAAAAGCUUUGGGAUGAUAUUGUUGCCGGACCUCAGCCUGAACGCGGCCUUGACAUGCUUAGGAAGCCGGCUCCUAAGCCCUUGAAUAUCAAAGCCAAAGGUACUACAAUCAUUCUCUGGGCACGACGUUCGUUCUUUCUUCGUCGAUCGUUGGCCCUUUUUAAUAUGUUAUUUGCUAUGGAUUCAGAGUUUUUCACUUUUGGGUUUUAAUUAUUAUUAACUUGGUGAUGUGUAGAAGUGGAGGGAGAGUCGAGCAAGUUGACGAUGCCGAUGAGCCCCGGAACACCAGGUACCCCAGGCACCCCAGGCACACCGGCUUCCGCUCGUGCUAAAGACAACGUUUGGAGGAGUGUGUUCCACCCAGGUAGCAACCUUGCCACCAAAUCCAUGGGCAACCAGGUUUUCGACAAGCCACAGCCCAACUCUCCCACUGUCUACGACUGGUAUGUAUACGUAGCCUAACCCUAAUAACGCACGCAUAGAACUAGUUACAAAUUUUUAAUCGAAAAAAAAGAAAAAGAACCGAUAGAUACAAAUAUGGAUACUAUAAAAAAAGAACCGAUAGAUACAAAUAUGGAUACUAUAAGUACUGUGAUUAUAUACGUAAAGUUUGUGACCAGUUCUAUUUGUGCGUAUUUCGAAUAUUAACGUAAAUAGAUCUAAGCCGUAGAUCGAGGAUCUGUUUGUUGGGUUUAGAUCUAUAUGGUUUGUUGUUGCGAUCAUGGGUUAACCUUUUAUGUGUGAUGUGAUCUCACAGGCUCUACAGUGGCGAGACCAGGAGCAUCCAUCAUCGUUAAGGUGACGAAGAAACAACUGAGCUGACCAGCAGCCAGUCACCAGGGGCUGCAUGUAAAUAGUGUAUCUGUUCAUCUCAGUGUUUGCUACGUGCCCCGAUGAGGGUUUUCUGAUGGCAAUGCGAUUAGGUAUCCUUUUGGAUUUUGUACUUAGGGCUUUCUUCCAAGAGAGCUCACUGUCUUGGAAUUAUAUGU
rnacentral:lncRNA from 1 species